UACAGAGACUGCAAGCGUUAUUCGGAUUCACUGGGCGUAAAGCGUGCGCAGGCGGUUUGCUAAGACAGGUGUGAAAUCCCCGGGCUUAACCUGGGAACUGCGCUUGUUACUGGCAAGCUGGAGUGUGGCAGAGGGAGGUGGAAUUCCACGUGUAGCAGUGAAAUGCGUAGAGAUGUGGAGGAACACCGAUGGCGAAGGCAGCCCCCUGGGCUAACACUGACGCUCAUGCACGAAAGCGUGGGGAGCAAACAGG
rnacentral:rRNA from 1 species